rnacentral:rRNA from 1 species
CAGCCGCCGCGGGAAUACAGAGGGUGCGAGCGUUAAUCGGAUUUACUGGGCGUAAAGCGUGCGUAGGCGGCUUUUUAAGUCGGAUGUGAAAUCCCUGAGCUUAACUUAGGAAUUGCAUUCGAUACUGGGAAGCUAGAGUAUGGGAGAGGAUGGUAGAAUUCCAGGUGUAGCGGUGAAAUGCGUAGAGAUCUGGAGGAAUACCGAUGGCGAAGGCAGCCAUCUGGCCUAAUACUGACGCUGAGGUACGAAAGCAUGGGGAGCAAACAGGAUUAGAGACCCGAGUAGUCCCUGUCUCUUAUAC